AGUCGAGGGGUACAUUGGUGCUUGCACCAGAUGACGACCGGCGCACGGGUGCGUAACGCGUAUAGAACCUACCUUUUACAGGGGAAUAGCCUUUAGAAAUGAAGAUUAAUGCCCCAUAGUAUUACGACUUGGCAUCAAGUUGUAUUUAAAGAUUUAUCGGCAAAAGAUGAGUAUGCGUCCCAUUAGCUAGUUGGUGAAGUAACGGUUCACCAAGGCAACGAUGGGUAGGGGUCCUGAGAGGGAGAUCCCCCACACUGGUACUGAGACACGGACCAGACUCCUACGGGAGGCAGCAGUGAGGAAUAUUGGACAAUGGGCGAGAGCCUGAUCCAGCCAUGCCGCGUGCAGGAAGACUGCCCUAUGGGUUGUAAACUGCUUUUAUACAGGAAGAAUAAGCCUUACGUGUAAGGUGAUGACGGUACUGUAAGAAUAAGGACCGGCUAACUCCGUGCCAGCAGCCGCGGUAAUACGGAGGGUCCGAGCGUUAUCCGGAAUUAUUGGGUUUAAAGGGUCCGUAGGCGGAUGAUUAAGUCAGGGGUGAAAGUUUGCAGCUCAACUGUAAAAUUGCCUUUGAUACUGGUCAUCUUGAGUUGUAUUGAAGUAGGCGGAAUAUGUAGUGUAGCGGUGAAAUGCAUAGAUAUUACAUAGAACACCAAUUGCGAAGGCAGCUUACUAAGUACUAACUGACGCUGAUGGACGAAAGCGUGGGUAGCGAACAGGAUUAGAUACCCUGGUAGUCCACGCCGUAAACGAUGGAUACUAGCUGUUCGGGGCCUUGAGCUCUGAGCGGCUAAGCGAAAGUGAUAAGUAUCCCACCUGGGGAGUACGUU
rnacentral:rRNA from 1 species